rnacentral:rRNA from 1 species
AUGGAAGAGUACAUACUGAACCAUUCUACGAUCAUAUUUUGCACUGCUGCUAGCUCAAUCAAUAUUCGUCGUGUCCGUGAUUUCGAGCCAUUUGAGCUCCUCGUUGUCGACGAGGCGGCACAGCUCAAGGAGUGCGAGUCGCUGAUACCUCUACAACUUGGUAUCCGCCGUGCUGUUCUCAUCGGUGAUGAACGCCAGCUACCAGCGUUUGUGAAAAGCAAGCUCAGCGCCGAGGCUGGCUUUGGAAGAAGUCUGUUCGAGAGGCUUAGCUUGCUGGGACACCCUAAGCACCUCCUCGCUGUGCAGUACAGGAUGCACCCGGAAAUAAGCAAGUUCCCCACCUUUAGGUUUUACCAGAGCAAGGUGACAGAUGGCCCCAACGUCCUUCACAGAUACUACGAGAGGAAGCUCCUGGCUGGCCCAAUGUACGGGCCCUACUCCUUUAUCAACAUCCAAUGUUGGAUGGAAAGCUCGGAGAAGCACGACAUGAGCCAGAGCAACCCUGUUGAGGUCGCCGCAGUGACCCGCAUUGUGCAGAGAUUGUUCCAAGAAUCGUCAGCUGAGACAAGAAGCAAGCUCAGCGUGGGCGUGAUAUCGCCGUACAAGGCCCAAGUCCGCGCCAUCCAGGAGAGCCUUGCUUUGGAGCACGAGAACUACAGUGGUUUAUCCGUGAAGAUCGGGACCGUGGACGGGUUCCAAGGUGCCGAGGCGGAUGUCAUCAUCUUCUCCGCCGUGCGGGCCAACACCAAAGGAAAGCUCGGGUUCCUCCCCGAUGAAAGACGCAUUGCUUCUGGAUUCUCGGGAACUCGGCUACGCUGUCAAAAAAGAAAGACAAUCUGGCAGGAGAUAGUGGCCGAUGCAAAGGAAAGAGGAUGCUUCUAUGAUGGCAACGACGACAAAGACCUCUUGGCUGCGAUGAGCAUCGCGAUCAAGCAGGAUGAAAUCAACCGUCUUGGUAUAGGCGGCUUGCGAUCUUGGGUUUCUGUUUUGGUGCAUGUUCGAUGUUCUCAGAGGAGUUUGGAGUUUGUUUGGCUGUCAGCGAGUGUGCUGCGGUCAGAAGCCUGGCGUAAGAGGACGGCAAGGCCACACACACGAGCCAUCCCAUUCUUUUCUUUCUCAUUCCUGAAGCGUCUCACUGUCUCUCCUCUGUUCUUCCAAGACCAAGGCGGAAAGAGAAGGAAAUUCCGCAAGAACCGCUCCUUAAUUCUCGCUUUCUGCGUUUGGAGCACAUCAGGAAGCACUCAUCCAGAUAUUGCUUGUCCUGCUUUGGAAGAAGCAGAGGGAGGGGGAGAGGGAGAGGAGGAGGAAGAAGAAAAAGAAGAAGAUGGAGGGGAGGAGGAGCAACCUGUUGAGGAGGAGGAAGAAGAAGAGGCUCCACUUAUAAUUAAUAGGGUCUAUGAUGGUAGUGGUGUUCUGGUAGUGGAAAGAGACCCAGGGCUGCGUUGCCAACUUUGGGAUCUUCCUGUCAAUGACCAAGAGAAAGCAAGAAAAGCAUAUGUGAAGUGUGGAGCAUAUCACUUUAAAAAGGAAAUAUACCUUCCUACUGGUCCAGAAAGCCACCCACGCAGGUUUCAAUAUCAUUGGUUCAAGGCAUUUCCUUGGUUAAUUCGACUUGUUCUCACUUUGCCUGUCUCAACCGCAACAACAGAACGUGCAUUUUCGGCAAUGAAAGUUGUUAAAACAAGACUCCGAAAUAAAAUGGAAGACAUGUUCCUAAGAGAUUGCUUGUUGAUCUACAUCGAGAAAGAGAUUGCAGUAGGAUUCUCAACUGAUGCAAUUAUUGAUGAAUUCAAUACAACGGACCGUCGCGUGGACUUCGAGUGA